GGAUUGGGAGGGUUCUACGGAACCCGUUUGGUGAAUCUAGUGCCGAGAAAAGCCUUCUAUGUGUUGAAUUUCUAGUACCCGUACCCCAAACCGACACAGGUGGGUGGGUAGAGCAUACCUAGGGGCGCGUGAUAACUCUCUCUAAGGAACUCGGCAAAAUGGCCCUGUAACUUCGGGAUAAGGGGUGCCUGCGUGAGCAGGCCGCAGUGAAAUGGCUCUGGCGACUGUUUACCAAAAACACAGGUCUCUGCUAAGUCGUAGGACGAUGUAUAGGGGCUGACUCCUGCCCAGUGCCGGAAGGUUAAGGAAGUUGGUUAGCGCAAGCGAAGCUGGCGACCGAAGCCCCGGUGAACGGCGGCCGUAACUAUAACGGUCCUAAGGUAGCGAAAUUCCUUGUCGGGUAAGUUCCGACCCGCACGAAAGGAGUAACGAUCAGAGCGCUGUCUCGGAGAGAGACACGGCGAAAUAGGAUUGUCCGUGAAGAUACGGACUACCUGCACCCGGACAGAAAGACCCUAUGAAGCUUUACUGUAACUUGGAAUUGUGUUCGGACUUUGUCUGCGCAGAAUAGGUGGGAGGCUAUGAAACGUUCCUCGCGGGGAACUGGAGCCAUCGUUGAGAUACCACUCUGGCAGAGUCUGGAUUCUAACCUACGGGGACAGUUCCAGGUGGGCAGUUUGACUGGGGCGGUCGCCUCCUAAAAUGUAACGGAGGCGCGCAAAGGUUCCCUCAGGCUGGUUGGAAAUCAGCCAUAGAGUGUAAAAGCAUAAGGGAGCUUGACUGUGAGACCUACAAGUCGAGCAGGGACGAAAGUCGGCUUUAGUGAUCCGACGGCACUGAGUGGAAGGGCCGUCGCUCAACGGAUAAAAGUUACUCUAAGGAUAACAGGCUGAUCUCCCCCAAGAGUUCACAUCGACGGGGAGGUUUGGCACCUCGAUGUCGGCUCGUCGCAACCUGGGGCGGUAGUACGUCCCAAGGGUUGGGCUGUUCGCCCAUUAAAGCGGCACGUGAGCUGGGUUCAGAACGUCGUGAGACAGUUCGGUCCAUAUCCGGUGUAGGCGUAGGAGCAUUGAAAGGAUCUCUCCUUAGUACGAGAGGACCGGGAGGGACGUACCUCUGGUGUACCUGUUAUCGUGCCAACGGUAAACGCAGGGUAGCCAUGUACGGAGUGGAUAACCGCUGAAAGCAUCUAAGUGGGAAGCCCACCUUAAGAUGAGUGCUCCCUUGAGGCCACGGGAAGACGACCCGUUUGAUAGGCGCUAGGUGGAAGUGCAGUAAUGCAUGCAGCC
rnacentral:rRNA from 1 species